GGAGGCCACAUUACAUUUAGUCAUCCUGUCUUCUUCAAUUCCCCUUAUCUACAAGUUUCUCAGACUUUGUUUUUGAAGACUUUGGAAGUUUUGAAGAGUGUUGCUCAAGUAUUUUAUAGCUAUCCCUCAACUGGCAAACAAACGAAACCAGCGUUCUUUGAGUUUUCCAAUCAUGCAUGUUUAAACCAUCUUGUUCGCCUGAGGGCAAGAAUCCAGAAAAGUAUAAAUUAAGCAGAUAAUAAGAAAGCAAAACUGCCAGCGAUCUCUGCCCUUUGUAUGGAAAGUGCCGGAUUUCAGCCUUCGAAGCAGCGCAGUGUCAUUUCAGAGCGGCUGAAGUUUCUCUAUUGACUGGUUGCUUCCAUGAGAGUGAAAGAACUUCCUAAAGGAAAUGGACUUGCGUAUAUAUGAAAAGCAAUAGAAG